rnacentral:lncRNA from 1 species
CUCAACGGUCUAAAUUUAAAAUAGGCCAAUUUGCAUAAAAAAUUCACAAGUUUUGAGCUUUUAUAAAAUUGAACUGUCUUUUUCGAUUUUACAGAUUCGGUCUGAAUUUUCAGCAAAUUGACCAAAAUACUCUUAUUCCUUUCUCUCUCUCUUUUUUUUUCUAUCGUUCUUUUUUUUCUUUCCCUCUCCGAAGAAAAUGGCGAAGGCAGAGGCGGAAACUGCCCGCCUCGCCUCUGCUCUCACGCCCUCGCCUGCGCACCCUCCACCCUCCUCUCCUCCGACUCCGCUCACGCAGCGCCGCAACCCUCCUUCUCCACUAGGACACGGCGACGUCGAGGCGCAAGCUCUUCUCAUCCACCGUGCGCCGGAACGUCGCGGCGUCGUCGAAGGCGACGAGCUCGCCUCCAAUGACGUCGCGAUUGUUGCCAUAAAGGCAAGAGAGAUGUCGUAACAAAAAAAAAAUUAUAGAAAGAAAAAAUAAGAAUAAUAAAAUAUAAAAAUAAAAAAUAUAUUUUUCUUACAGAAAAGAUCAAAAAUUAUAGAAGAAGAAAAAAGAUGAUGAAAUUGCACUGUUAAAAUAAAGUUACACUAUUUUGUACUAUUUUAAAUGAAAAUUGCACUUUUUGAGACAAAAUUACACUCUUUUACAAUGAGAGUUACACUAUUUAGACCAAAAUUGCACUCUUUCCAUAAAUUUUACACUAUUUCUUUUUCACCUCUUCUUCCUCCUCCUUCCUCUCAUCCUUAUCCGUAGGAGGCUAUAGCCGCGGAAGCCCCCCACCUCCCUUCCUAUUCCUUUCCACCUCUCUAUUUAUGCUCACCCCCCUCUCACUCCUCUUCUCCCUUCUCAGCACGCCACAUUUGUUAUCCUUCCCAAAAAAAAAAAAAAAGAAAGAAAUUAUUCGGUCGCAAUUGCGUGCAUUUACAAUCCCUUAUUAUUCGCGCAGAGAGAGA